CGCCAGGCUUGCCCGGCCCGCGGCUGACGUGGGAUAGAUUGCUUCCUGUCAUCGAUUCACAGGAUUAGAAAAUGCGGUGUUUGAGAGGCAGUGCAGAGCUCAGCUGGGCCGUCUCCCUUAGGCUGUAGGUGAGCAUACUGAGACUGGAGAGGUGGAGUGGUUAUCCCAGCGGCUUCUAGAUGCUAACAGAGUUCAAGGACUUGGAGCCCACUGGGAAAUACGCAGUUAUGUCCCCAUUCGUCUCUUCCUAGGCCCCAACUCUCAAACUCCAAAUCAGAUUUCUACCCUCUCAGGACGACUCUGUGGAUUAUGGGAAUUUCCUUGUGGAUUCACACUGAAGCAUCUCAUCACGCCCGUCCUUUCAAGUUUGAGUUGUGGGCAUUUAUGUGGCUUCCUGCUUUGUAUUGUGCAAUGAAUCUGGAAGAUACUUUGCACACACUGAAUUACAGGUUCAGGAAAGCAGUAUAGUGUCUUGAAGUCAGACACAUCUUGAUUCAAGGCCAGUCUCUGCCAGUUCCUCUUCAAGAGGAAGAGAAGAGGGUUUGCCUUCUUUUCCUACAGGACCGUUUGUUCAAGCAGCAUUUGCUAGGACUAGUUUUCUGAAAGGAUUCAACAGACGAGGUUAAGGAGAUAUUGGAAGUACAGUCAGCAUGAGACCUGAACCUGAAUUUGGUACCAGUUCUGCCUCGUGUUAGCAGUGUAACCUUGAGUCUACCGAUUCCAUUCUCUAGGCCUCAGUUUCCUUACCAGUCGAGGUGAACUCAUCUGAAAGGGUGAGAUCAGGUCUCACCCUUGAGAAUCCUUGAGCCCUUCAAGAUGUGUCCUAAGGGAUCCUGGUUUGCACUUCAACUUGAACAAAGCUUUAGUCCAAGAAAAUUUGCCCUAACGAUGGAAUCGUACACUUUCUGCCAGGACAAUGGAGGAAAUAUUUUGAAUCCACGAGGCCUUUGGGAGACCCUGGAGGCACAGUAAGUAGUUCUGAAGAUCAGAAGUCUAAAAAUGGGUUACCAAGGCUGUGUUCCUUCUAGAAGCUGUAAGGAUGAUCCAUUUUCUUGCCGUUUCCAACUUCUACAGGCUGCUUGCAUUCCUUGCCUCGUGGUCCCACAUCACCCCCAACCUAUGCUUCUGUCAUCCCAGCUCCUCCACUGACUCUCAGCCUCCUGCCUCCCUCUCUUAAGGAAGGACCCUUGUGAUUACAUAGGGCCCACCUGGGGAAUUCAGGCUCAUUUGCACACCUCAAGAUCUUUAAUCACAUCUACAAAGUCCUUUGGCCAUGGGUGGCAGGUUGUAUUAUAUACCUCAGAAAGAGACAUGUUCUCAAUCCUAGUCCAUUCCUGUAGUUAUAAACCCACUCCAAGUAGGGCCUUUUGAAGACGUUAUUUUUAGUUAAGGUGUGGCCCAGUGGAAUGAGGUUAGGCCUUAAUCCUACUGCUGGAAGCUUUAUGAAGACAAAGCCACCUGGAGGAGAAGAAGCUGGAAGUCAAUGGAACCCAGAAGAGCAAGGAGAGGACAUGGCCAUGGGCAUAUUGCCAGGUGACACAAAAGACAAGGACCCAAGGGUUGCUGGCAGCCAGUCCCAGAACACUACAGUUUUCAGGGAAAAAGCAUUGCCUUGUUGAUGCCUUGAUUUUGGAUUUCUCCUAGCUUCAAAACCACA